AGUGAACGCUGGCGGCAUGCCUUACACAUGCAAGUCGAACGGCAGCACGGGAGCAAUCCUGGUGGCGAGUGGCGAACGGGUGAGUAAUAUAUCGGAACGUGCCCAGUCGUGGGGGAUAACGUAGAGAAAUUUACGCUAAUACCGCAUACGAUCCAAGGAUGAAAGCGGGGGACCUUCGGGCCUCGUGCGACUGGAGCGGCUGAUAUCAGAUUAGGUUGUUGGUGAGGUAAAAGCUCACCAAGCCGACGAUCUGUAGCUGGUUUGAGAGAACGACCAGCCACACUGGGACUGAGACACGGUCCAGACUCCUACGGGAGGCAGCAGUAGGGAAUAUUGGACAAUGGGCGCAAGCCUGAUCCAGCCAUGCCGCGUGAGUGAAGAAGGCCUUCGGGUUGUAAAGCUCUUUUGUCCGGAAAGAAAAGCUUCGGGUCAAUACCCCGGAGUCCUGACGGUACCGGAAGAAUAAGCACCGGCUAACUUCGUG
rnacentral:rRNA from 1 species